CAUUUUUGAGUCGCUACAUAUACAAAAAAAAAUGAUAUCUAGAAAUAAAAUUACUUUGUAAUGUAUGCAAUUUGUACUUCGUAAAAUAAUGCAUAGUUAGUUCUAAACAAAAAUCUUUGCUGGAAUGUAGUAUUAUUAUCAUAAGAGCAAAAAAUAUCGUUCUACUGUGGAGGUAAGAAAAUAAUCGCAACUUGAAGUUGAUCAAAAAUCCAUUGAAGUAAAAGAGGUAAGCUCUUACAUUGCUUUUCUGCAAGAGUGAUUUUCAUGACGACCUCCUAACUAUAUGACAUUAACUUUUAUUUUCAUGUUAAGAUGCAAAGACAUCUACAUUAUUCUUAUUAAUUGUUUUUAUUUAUCCAAAGGUUAGGGCUAUUAAAAAGCACUCCAUGAAAAUAAAAGCUAAACUUUCUAUAUUGAAAAGGAAAUUUGCAAAAAAGAAACAGAAAAGCAACAACCAUCGCAAAAGAGAGGUAAAAAAGUUUCUUGUAGAAGCAAUGAAAAACCGUAUGAAUAGGUAUGUCAAACAAAAAAACAAGGUAAGUUAAUAUUACGCUAGCUGUUUUAUACAAAAGAAAAAAAUGUAGAAAAUAUAUGAACUAUAAAUUUAUCAAUCUCAUCAUAGAAUUUUUUUUAUCAUUAUAAUCUUAUUUUGUAACGGAUUAACAACAAAUUAUCGAAAUAUAGUUGUUAGCUAUAAGAUAUUUGGUGAUUAAUGUUUUAGUUGCACUGUAUUUUUUUGGUCGUAAAUUUUUUAUACAUAUUUUUUACAUUCUCAUAACAAAAAAUAUUUUAAAAUGAAAGGAUAAUGUUGGAAUGUCAUAACAAGAUUCCUCCCCAAAAAAGAUAAAUAGAUUCUUCAAUCCUAGAGGGAAAGCUUGGAACAAAGGAGAAAGUAAGAAUAUUAUUCACACCAAAGGAAAAAUACAAGCGAGAAUGUUUUCGGAACAAAUUAUAUUGGUGUUGGCAUCACAAUGUUAAACUAAUUGUGGGAGGUCUAGUUGGCUACGAUAAAAAAAAGCUAGUAAUGGUGCAAAUGGUAGCAGCAAUGAAGGAGGGAGAUGUCGCAGAUUGAUAGUGGUAAAAUUUAUAUAUUACAACAUCGGUUUUCCAUGAAGUUGGUGGAGCUAGUACUGGUGAGUUUGGUGAUGUCAUGGGAUAUAUAGAGUGUCAUGGAUCCGGUGCAAGCAGUGGUGGAAAUGAAAGAAGGGUCCAACGACAUAGAUUCUCACACUCAUGGCUAGCUUCUUUGUCAUUCAAGGAGUGAAGAUUUGGUGAGUCCUCCUUGUGUUCGAGGAUGUCAUUACUUCUUUAGUUUAUGUAUUUUCGUUUGUGUUUUCGACUAUUGUGUGGGCUGCUCCCAAGAUUUUACUCAUGAUGUUUAGAUGUUUAGACACAAUGUUAUUAGACUUUCCAUUUAUUUUAUAAAGACUUCGAUUGGAUUGAAAAGUUUAAA